ensembl:lncRNA
GCUGGAGUGCAGUGCCCAGAUCUCAGCUCACUGCAAGCUCUGCCUCCCGGGUUUACGCCAUUCUCCUGCCUCAGCCUCCGAGUAGCUGGGAUUACAGGCUGCUAGUUUUUUGUAUUUUUUAGUAGAGACGGGGUUUCACCGUGUUAGCCAGGAUGGUCUCGAUCUCCUGACCUCGUGAUCUGCCCGUCUCGUCCUCCCAAAGUGCUGGGAUUACAGGCUUGAGCCACCGCGCCCGGCCAAAUUUUUAGGUUUUCCCUCUAUUGUUGAUUUCUUACUUCAUCCCAUUGUGGUCCCAGAAGUUACUUUGUAAGCUAUUUUCUAAAAUCGCUUGAGACUUAAAUUGUGGCUUACCCUGUGGUCAAUCCUGGAGAAAGUCCACAUCCACUGAGGACUCUGCAUUCUGUUGAGUGGAGUGUCCUGUUAGAUCUAGUUGGUGUCUCGAGUUGCUCAAGUACUCAAUUCUGCUUCCUUACUUAUCUCAGGUCUGGUUGUUCUAUCGUUACGGAGAAUAGGGUAUUGAAGCACCACCUAUUAAUGAGUAACUGUCUAACGAAUAACGGAUGACUCCCUCCAGUUGUGUCAGUUUUUGCUUCAUAUAUAUAUAUACACACACACACACACACAUAUAUAUACACACACACACAUAUAUAUAUUUGCUUCAUAUAUAUAUAAGUUCCAGCUUCCUGGCGUUUCUGUGUCAGGCAGUGAAUCUGUGGGUGCAGAUGCCCAUUAGCACCCAUCAGGGAGCUUUCUCCUGGGUUCCUCAGGAGCCUGAGGAAGGUCCAGAAGGCCCUGCCCUUGUGUAUGGCUGGCAGCUCAGGGGGCACAGCCUUGAACAUGCAGUGACCCUGCCCACUACUGAUGUGGCCAGGGAUGGUCCUGGAGUUCCACCAGUCAGAUAAGUUUCUCCUUCCCCCCACAAGAGAGCACGACCAGGAAGGAAGAAUUGGGCUGGGGACAGGGUGGGAGUGUUGUGGGGCCCCUUGGCUCCCCCAUGUGGAUUUUCUAUAUGCGUAACAGACCAGUGUGUGGCUACCCAGUGCUGCUGUCCUUAAAAUCUGGCCUUGACUCUCAUCCCAUUGGCUUUGGGACCCUCCAUGCCCUGCCUCCUGAUGACCUUUCCACCCACUCCAGCCUUCCUCUCCACUACACAUGUUGAAGCGUCCAGUUUGCCACAGGCACGAUCACACCUCCGUCUCUUUGCACGUGCGGUUUCCUGUCUAGGAAGCCUGAAUACCAGCCACCCAGCCAAGCUCCUCUGGGCUCCUGGAGAUGGCUCAGACACAGAUCCCACUGUAAUGACCUCACUGCCCAGCUGGGAAGGUGAGACAAGGACAGAAACCAUCUACAAUCCAGAGCCAUCUGUUCACAGCUGCAAAGGAAAGACACGCACAGCACCGUGCACGCCCACCUGCUGCAGGAGGGGUGGGGACAGCUUCUGAAAGGGGUGGGUCUAGCGGGACUCCAUUGCCUGGGUGUGACCACAGGAAUUGGCCAGGAGGCAUCCCAGGUCGAAGAAAGCCAGAGUGGCAGGAACACAUAGUACAGAUGUAGGCUGGG